rnacentral:rRNA from 1 species
UACGUAGGGUGCAAGCGUUGUCCGGAAUUAUUGGGCGUAAAGAGCUCGUAGGCGGUCUGUCGCGUCGGAUGUGAAAAUCCAGGGCUCAACCCUGGACCUGCAUUCGAUACGGGCAGACUAGAGUUCGGUAGGGGAGACUGGAAUUCCUGGUGUAGCGGUGAAAUGCGCAGAUAUCAGGAGGAACACCGAUGGCGAAGGCAGGUCUCUGGGCCACUACUGACGCUGAGGAGCGAAAGCAUGGGGAGCGAACAGG